GAGAACUUAGUUAAUUUAUAGCACUACUUUGUCAAGGUAGAGUAAUGGGUUAAACCCCCAUACUUCUCU
rnacentral:tRNA from 2 species